rnacentral:rRNA from 1 species
UUACGACUACAUAUCAGGCAUAUCAAUAAGCGGAGGAAAAGAAACUAACAAGGAUUCCCCUAGUAACGGCGAGUGAAGCGGGAAGAGCUCAAAUUUGAAAUCUUAAAGGGUUUCCCUUUACGAAUUGUAGUUUAAAGAAGUGUUUUCUGUUGGAGUUUCGGUAAAAGUUCUUUGGAAUAGGACAUCAUAGAGGGUGAGAAUCCCGUAUUUGACCGUUACUUUCCAGCUGUGUGAUACACUUUCAAAGAGUCGGAUUGUUUGGGAAUGCAGUCCAAAAUGGGUGGUAAAUUUCAUCUAAAGCUAAAUAUUGGCGAGAGACCGAUAGCGAACAAGUACCGUGAGGGAAAGAUGAAAAGAACUUUGAAAAGAGAGUUAAACAGUACGUGAAAUUGUCAAAAGGGAAGCGUUUGACACCAGUGUUGUUUUUCCGAAAAUCAAUUAAAAUGAAUCAUGCUAGGUUGUAUUGACCUUAUCAGCUUGCAUUUAGUUUUGGUUAACCUUUUGUAAUGCACUUUUCGGUUAACAAGUCAACAUCAAUUUCUUUUGUUGUAAAAGGGUAUUUGGAAGGUGGCUUUCUUUUCGGAGAAAGUGUUUAUAGCCUUAUACCUCUACAAUCGGAGAGAUUGAGGUCUGCAGCGUAGAUCCUUCGGGGCUAGAUACACUUGUGCUAAGUUAUAGCUUUUCAUAGACAACUUGUUGACUAUGUUUAGUCAUGUAGCUUACCCGCUUAGUGCUAUUUUACCUACGCUUAGGAUGUUGAUCUACAGAGCGAGAGU